rnacentral:rRNA from 1 species
GACGAACGCUGGCGGCGUGCUUAACACAUGCAAGUCCAACGGAAAGGCCCUGCUUGCAGGGUACUCGAGUGGCGAACGGGUGAGUAACACGUGGGUGAUCUGCCCUGCACUUCGGGAUAAGCCUGGGAAACUGGGUCUAAUACCGGAUAGGAGCCAUUUUUAGUGUGAUGGUUGGAAAGUUUUUUCGGUGUAGGAUGAGCUCGCGGCCUAUCAGCUUGUUGGUGGGGUAAUGGCCUACCAAGGCGGCGACGGGUAGCCGGCCUGAGAGGGUGGACGGCCACAUUGGGACUGAGAUACGGCCCAGACUCCUACGGGAGGCAGCAGUGGGGAAUAUUGCACAAUGGGCGCAAGCCUGAUGCAGCGACGCCGCGUGGGGGAUGACGGCCUUCGGGUUGUAAACUCCUUUCGCUAGGGACGAAGCUUUUUGUGACGGUACCUAGAUAAGAAGCACCGGCUAACUACGU